GUGCUUGCUUCAGCAGCACGUAUACUAACAUUGGAAUGAUACAUUGGGGAUUAUCAUGGUCCUUGAACAAAGAUAACACAAAUUCGUGCAGUGUUCCAUGCUUUA
ensembl:snRNA U6 U6 spliceosomal RNA